GUGCUGGCCCGUGAAGAACUCUCAUGUUCAGAGAAUGAAGGUUGCGGAGAUGAGGAUGCUCAGGUGGAUGUGCGGGCUCACCAAGUUAGAUAAGUUUAAGAAUGAAGUUAUUCGAGAGAAGGUGGGGGUGGACCCGGUUGAUGAGAAGAUGCGAGAAGCGAGGCUGAGGUGGUUCGGGCAUGUGCGGAGGAAAGUCCUGAUGCCCCGGUGAGGAGUUGUGAACAGCUGGCGAUGGUCGGCGUUCGGCGAGGCAG
rnacentral:lncRNA from 1 species